UGAAUUGAAGGCUAGCCUGAUCUACAGAU
rnacentral:piRNA from 1 species